rnacentral:rRNA from 1 species
GCUAAUACCGCAUAACGCCUACGGGCCAAAGAGGGGGACCUUCGGGCCUCUCGCGUCAAGAUAUGCCUAGGUGGGAUUAGCUAGUUGGUGAGGUAAUGGCUCACCAAGGCGACGAUCCCUAGCUGGUCUGAGAGGAUGAUCAGCCACACUGGAACUGAGACACGGUCCAGACUCCUACGGGAGGCAGCAGUGGGGAAUAUUGCACAAUGGGCGCAAGCCUGAUGCAGCCAUGCCGCGUGUAUGAAGAAGGCCUUCGGGUUGUAAAGUACUUUCAGCAGUGAGGAAGGGUGUGAAGUUAAUAGCUUCACAUCUUGACGUUAGCUGCAGAAGAAGCACCGGCUAACUCCGUGCCAGCAGCCGCGGUAAUACGGAGGGUGCGAGCGUUAAUCGGAAUUACUGGGCGUAAAGCGCAUGCAGGUGGUUUGUUAAGUCAGAUGUGAAAGCCCGGGGCUCAACCUCGGAACCGCAUUUGAAACUGGCAGGCUAGAGUACUGUAGAGGGGGGUAGAAUUUCAGGUGUAGCGGUGAAAUGCGUAGAGAUCUGAAGGAAUACCAGUGGCGAAGGCGGCCCCCUGGA